AUGGGAGGGCAGGCAGGGGCGAGGGCGGGGUAUGAGGCGGUGCGAGGCCAAUGGAAGGGCGGGCCGGGUCCUCCGGGCCGAGGCGGGGCGCCAGGCGGAAGGAAGCCAAUGGGAGGGCGAGCUAGGGGCGGGGGCGGGGCCCCAAGCCAACAGGAGGGUGAUGACGAGAGGGCGGGGCGCCAGGCAGCGAGAGAGCCAAUGGGAGGCCGAGCCGGGGGCCGCGGGCGGUGGGCCUCCCCGCGCGGGGAGGGAGACCCGGAAGGCGGUGGGGGCGGGGAGCGGAGGGGACAACCUGUCAAAUCCACUUUAGGGCGAACUAGGUCACGCGCUCCCCGAGCAGGGCGCCCCCGCCCGCGAAACCCAGCCGUGGCUCCUUCCUCUUCCUGCCUGCGGCGGUGGGGGCGGGGCGGGCCUCGGGACACCUGCCUCCGCGGCUGGCCGCCGGCCCCGCGCGGCUUCCCGGGCAACUCCGCCUCGGCCGCACACGCCCGGCCCGCUCGCGGCGGCAGGAGCCGGGGUCCCGCGGGACCUACCGCGCUCUCUCCCUGGCCUUCGGGAGCCCGCCGCUGCCUCGCCGGGAAAACCUCGCAACUCCCGCGGCCCCGGCCGUCCCCGCGCCGCUCCUUGUCGCGCGCGGCCGUGGACUCGUCCCCGCGGGUCCCCGUGUGCGGAAGCCGCGGGGGCUGGGGGCGCACUACUUGGCGCGGAAGGGUGGACCGCGGGCGGAGGGAUCCUGGGCAGCGGGGGAAGCCGCAGGGAGGAGUCGGGAGGGGCCGCCGGGAGGAACCUGGCGCCAGCCCCCGCCCGCCCCACCCACGCGCGCCGCAGUCACCUGUUCCCCGCGGGAGCCCGGCAGCGCUCGGGGGAAGGCGCGCGCGCAACCGGGUCUGCUGCUUUGUGCCCGUGGAGUCGAUGGGAGGGCGCAGCGCGCUGGGGUCUUCCGGGCCGGCGGUCAGCCUGCACUUUCCCCCUCGCGUGCGGACCGCGGCGUUCUGUCUCUAG
rnacentral:lncRNA from 1 species